rnacentral:rRNA from 2 species
GUAAGACUGGGAUAACUCCGGGAAACCGGGGCUAAUACCGGAUGGUUGUUUGAACCGCAUGGUUCAGACAUAAAAGGUGGCUUCGGCUACCACUUACAGAUGGACCCGCGGCGCAUUAGCUAGUUGGUGAGGUAACGGCUCACCAAGGCAACGAUGCGUAGCCGACCUGAGAGGGUGAUCGGCCACACUGGGAUUGAGACACGGCCCAGACUCCUACGGGAGGCAGCAGUAGGGAAUCUUCCGCAAUGGACGAAAGUCUGACGGAGCAACGCCGCGUGAGUGAUGAAGGUUUUCGGAUCGUAAAGCUCUGUUGUUAGGGAAGAACAAGUGCCGUUCAAAUAGGGCGGCACCUUGACGGUACCUAACCAGAAAGCCACGGCUAACUACGUGCCAGCAGCCGCGGUAAUACGUAGGUGGCAAGCGUUGUCCGGAAUUAUUGGGCGUAAAGGGCUCGCAGGCGGUUUCUUAAGUCUGAUGUGAAAGCCCCCGGCUCAACCGGGGAGGGUCAUUGGAAACUGGGGAACUUGAGUGCAGAAGAGGAGAGUGGAAUUCCACGUGUAGCGGUGAAAUGCGUAGAGAUGUGGAGGAACACCAGUGGCGAAGGCGACUCUCUGGUCUGUAACUGACGCUGAGGAGCGAAAGCGUGGGGAGCGAACAGGAUUAGAUACCCUGGUAGUCCACGCCGUAAACGAUGAGUGCUAAGUGUUAGGGGGUUUCCGCCCCUUAGUGCUGCAGCUAACGCAUUAAGCACUCCGCCUGGGGAGUACGGUCGCAAGACUGAAACUCAAAGGAAUUGACGGGGGCCCGCACAAGCGGUGGAGCAUGUGGUUUAAUUCGAAGCAACGCGAAGAACCUUACCAGGUCUUGACAUCCUCUGACAAUCCUAGAGAUAGGACGUCCCCUUCGGGGGCAGAGUGACAGGUGGUGCAUGGUUGUCGUCAGCUCGUGUCGUGAGAUGUUGGGUUAAGUCCCGCAACGAGCGCAACCCUUGAUCUUAGUUGCCAGCAUUCAGUUGGGCACUCUAAGGUGACUGCCGGUGACAAACCGGAGGAAGGUGGGGAUGACGUCAAAUCAUCAUGCCCCUUAUGACCUGGGCUACACACGUGCUACAAUGGACAGAACAAAGGGCAGCGAAACCGCGAGGUUAAGCCAAUCCCACAAAUCUGUUCUCAGUUCGGAUCGCAGUCUGCAACUCGACUGCGUGAAGCUGGAAUCGCUAGUAAUCGCGGAUCAGCAUGCCGCGGUGAAUACGUUCCCGGGCCUUGUACACACCGCCCGUCACACCACGAGAGUUUGUAACACCCGAAGUCGGUGAGGUAACCUUU